ACGGCCAUAUCACAUUGAAACACCGGUUUUCGUCCGAUCGCCGAAGUUAAGCAACGUUGAUCCAAGUCAAUACCUAGAUGUGUGACCCGGUGGGAAUACCAGAUGCUGUAAG